CGCACAUUGCGCCCUUUGGUAUUCCGAAGGGCAUGCCUGUUCGAGCGUCAUUUCAAACCUCAAGCUUCUGCUUGGUAUUGGGCGUCGUCCGUAAGGACGUGCCAGAAACACGUGGGCGGUGGUGCCGGUCUCCCAGCGUAGUCAAUCUACCCGCUCCGGAGCGCAGGUGCCGCCCGCCAGACAAGCUUAAAUCUAUCUAUGGUUUGACCUCGGAUCAGGUAGGGAUACCCGCUGAACUUAA
rnacentral:misc_RNA from 1 species